AUAUAAAAUUUUCUUUCCAUUUAUACUGUUAAAAACUAACGUGGUUGAUGGGAUAAUCAGAUAAUAACACAUGAUGUGUCAUGUGUACCAUAUGCUGACAUAUAAAAAUAAAUUUUUAACAAUAAAAAUAUAUUAAACUUUUAUCA
rfam:Gossypium hirsutum cultivar TM-1 chromosome 19, whole genome shotgun sequence